rnacentral:tRNA from 1 species
AGUUAAUAAGUUCAUAAACAUAUAUUUUGAAAAUAUAAAAUAGAAUUUAAUAAUUCUAUUAACUU